AAGUCGUAACAAGGUUUCCGUAGGUGAACCUGCGGAAGGAUCAUUAUCGAUUCAACGAAGUGCCCGUGAGUUGUGCUGGCCUCUCGGGGCAUGUGCACGCUUUGUGGGUCUUCACACAUCCACACCUGUGAACCAAUUGUAGGUCUUUCGGGACCUAUGUCUUCUCAUAACACACUGUAUGUCUAGAAUGUCAUUAUGAUUAUCGUCUGCUUCCUUUGUGGAGUUGGGCUGAUAAGAUAAAACAAUAUACAA
rnacentral:misc_RNA from 1 species